rnacentral:rRNA from 1 species
CUACAAGUUUCCGUAGGUGAACCUGCGGAAGGAUCAUUA